AUUGAACGCUGGCGGCAGGCUUAACACAUGCAAGUCGAGCGAGCGGCGGACGGGUGAGUAAUGUCUGGGAACCUGCCUGCUGGUAGGGGAUAACUACUGGAAACGGUAGCUAAUACCACCUACCCGCUGAUGUGCCAAGAUGGGAUUAGCUAGUAGGUGGGGUAAUGGCUCCCCUAGGCGACGAUCCCUAGCUGGUCUGAGAGGAUGACCAGCCACACGGGAACUGAGACACGGUCCAGACUCCUACGCGAGGCAGCAGUGGGGAAUAUUGCACAAUGGGCGCAAGCCUGAUGCAGCCCUGCCGCGUGUGUGAAGAAGGCCUUCGGGUUGUAAAGCACUUUCAGCGAGGAGGCGUUACUCGCAGAAGAAGCACCGGCUAACUCCGUGCCAGCAGCCGCGGUAAUUC
rnacentral:rRNA from 1 species